rnacentral:rRNA from 1 species
UACGUAGGCAGCAAGCGUUGUUCGGAGUUACUGGGCGUAAAGAGUGCGUAGGUGGUGCCCUAAGUCUGUUGUGAAAUCUCCCGGCUUAACUGGGAGGGUGCGGUGGAAACUGGGGUGCUUGAGUGGGGGAGAGGUAAGCGGAAUUCCUGGUGUAGCGGUGAAAUGCGUAGAUAUCAGGAGGAACACCGGUGGUGUAGACGGCUUACUGGACCACGACUGACACUGAGGCACGAAAGCGUGGGUAGCAAACAGG